AGAAACAAAAAGUAGCUUAAACAAAGCACUCGACUUACACUCGAAUGAUAUUACAUUAAUCUUUUUGA
rnacentral:tRNA from 1 species